UGAGGAAUAUUGGUCAAUGGGCGCAAGCCUGAACCAGCCAUGCCGCGUGAAGGAAGAAGGAUCUAUGGUUUGUAAACUUCUUUUAUUUGGGAAUAAACCCCCGCUCGUGAGCGGGGCUGAAGGUACCAAAUGAAUAAGCACCGGCUAACUCCGUGCCAGCAGCCGCGGUAAUACGGAGGGUGCAAGCGUUAUCCGGAAUCAUUGGGUUUAAAGGGUCCGCAGGCGGGAUUAUAAGUCAGUGGUGAAAGCC
rnacentral:rRNA from 1 species